rnacentral:rRNA from 2 species
CGGCGUGCCUAAUACAUGCAAGUCGAACGCACUCUCGUUUAGAUUGAAGGAGCUUGCUCCUGAUUGAUAAACAUUUGAGUGAGUGGCGGACGGGUGAGUAACACGUGGGUAACCUGCCCUAAAGUGGGGGAUAACAUUUGGAAACAGAUGCUAAUACCGCAUAAAACCUAACACCGCAUGGUGUAGGGUUGAAAGAUGGUUUCGGCUAUCACUUUAGGAUGGACCCGCGGUGCAUUAGUUAGUUGGUGAGGUAAAGGCUCACCAAGACCGUGAUGCAUAGCCGACCUGAGAGGGUAAUCGGCCACACUGGGACUGAGACACGGCCCAGACUCCUACGGGAGGCAGCAGUAGGGAAUCUUCCACAAUGGACGAAAGUCUGAUGGAGCAACGCCGCGUGAGUGAAGAAGGUUUUCGGAUCGUAAAACUCUGUUGUUGGAGAAGAAUGUAUCUGAUAGUAACUGAUCAGGUAGUGACGGUAUCCAACCAGAAAGCCACGGCUAACUACGUGCCAGCAGCCGCGGUAAUACGUAGGUGGCAAGCGUUGUCCGGAUUUAUUGGGCGUAAAGCGAGCGCAGGCGGUUUCUUAAGUCUGAUGGAAAGCCUUCGGCUCAACCGAAGAAGUGCAUC